UUUUUUUUAAACUCACUGCUAAACUGAUUGAGCCAGUUAACACAUCUUGUGGUUUUUAGUUGGCUCAAUCAAUCAUGCAUAUUAUAAUAGAUACUGAUUUACAUGUUUAUUUUAACAGGCAGAUCAUGUUUUAGAUGAUCUAGGUGCACAGAUGGUCUAGGAAAAUUAGGGAAAUGAUUGCAUGGGUGACUACAACAGCAGUCAACAUUAACCUCUAUGCUACCUUCAUUUAAAAACAAAAAAGUAGAAUGAUGAGUGUAUUAUGGGGAAAAGGCCAUCUGUGUUCUGGAGAGAUUUUAUAAUCCUCUUGAUUUUUAUUGUGGUUUAUAAAUGUCUCCAGAAUCCCUCAAUGGUGAUGUCUUCCCAUAAUAAAUGGUUCCACUUUACGUAUCCGCUAUAUAUAGACAUAACCUUUAAAGGGUUCCUUGGUCUAUGAUCAAGGCUACAGCCUGCUGUAGUGGUUAUUGUAUUAGGAGAACCUAAAUGCCAUGGCUGGGUCUCAUUUGCUACAGGUUUAGGAUUUCCCAUAUCUAAAGCGCUGUCAAAUUCCACCUACUGCACUUUCAUUGACUGUCAGCUGCUUGCUUUCAGCCACUAAAUGCCCCUCAGUAUACUGUACUUAAAAUGCACAGAAUUGAUCCUAGUCUGCCUGGAACUCUUUGUUCUGGGCUGGCUAAUUAUACCCCACCUCAGUGAUGCUGAUAAGGGCUGCAAAGUUGUUAAAUCUGUAUGUGCACCCUAACCACUUUAAAUUGUAUAAGUAGUGAUGGUGCUUGGAAUAACCCAUUUAUACAUGCAAGGUCAAUCCUACAUGAACUUUUCAUAUGUGUGGAGGUUGAAGUUUAAUGGCUGUGCUAUCCUACACCCCUGGAAUGUGGCUCAACCCAGUAAAAUCUACCUUGUUACCUGUGGUGCUCUACCUCCUUUACCCCCCUGUAUUCAGUGCUGUCCUGGAAGGUACUUGUGUUAGGAUCCUGUAUUUUGAGUCUCUUGUUGUUCAAGGUAAAGAGUGGGGGAUGAGUGCAUUAGGACUAAUGUUCUCCUGUGUUUGUCUAUGUCUACUUUUUAAUAAAAGAGCUGUCUCGUGUGGAGUGCAUCACCUGUACUGUACUCUAACUGGACCUGUAUGAGUAAGCAGCAGACCUAUAAUGCAGAUUUUAAAAGUUGGUCUGGCUUAAAGGGACACUAUAGUCACCAGAACAACUACAGCUUAUUGAAUUUGCUCUGAUGAGGAGAAUCAUUACCUUCAGGCUUUUCAGAGAAAAUGCAGUGUUUACAGGGAGUGCAGAAUUAUUAGGCAAGUUGUAUUUUUGAGGAUUAAUUUUAUUAUUGAACAACAACCAUGUUCUCAAUGAACCCAAAAAACUCAUUAAUAUCAAAGCUGAAUAUUUUU